GGUCUGGUGGUGUAGCGGUUACGCGCCCAUCAAUAAUACUUUGAAGAAUUGAUGUUUGUGGGAAUUCCUUGUUCGAUUCAAGGCCAGGUCA